CGUAGGUGAACCUGCGGAGGGAUCAUUGCUGGAACGCGCCCCAGGCGCACCCAGAAACCCUUUGUGAACUUAUACCUUUUGUUGCCUCGGCGCAUGCUGGUCUCUAGUAGGCCCCUCACCCCGGUGAGGAGACGGCACGCCGGCGGCCAAGUUAACUCUUGUUUUUACACUGAAACUCUGAGAAAAAACACAAAUGAAUCAAAACUUUCAACAACGGAUCUCUUGGUUCUGGCAUCGAUGAAGAACGCAGCGAAAUGCGAUAAGUAAUGUGAAUUGCAGAAUUCAGUGAAUCAUCGAAUCUUUGAACGCACAUUGCGCCCUCUGGUAUUCCGGAGGGCAUGCCUGUUCGAGCGUCAUUUCAACCCUCAAGCAUUGCUUGGUGUUGGGGCACUGCUUUUAACGAAGCAGGCCCUGAAAUCUAGUGGCGAGCUCGCCAGGACCCCGAGCGCAGUAGUUAAACCCUCGCUCUGGAAGGCCCUGGCGGUGCCCUGCCGUUAAACCCCCAACUUUUGAAAAUUUGACC
rnacentral:rRNA from 1 species